UACGUAGGGUGCAAGCGUUAAUCGGAAUUACUGGGCGUAAAGCGUGCGCAGGCGGUUCGUUAUGUCCGAUGUGAAAGCCCCGAGCUUAACUUGGGAACGGCAUUGGAAACUGGCGGGCUGGAGUGCGGCAGAGGGGGGUGGAAUUCCACGUGUAGCAGUGAAAUGCGUAGAUAUGCGGAGGAACACCGAUGGCGAAGGCAAUCCCCUGGGCCUGCACUGACGCUCAUGCACGAAAGCGUGGGGAGCAAACAGG
rnacentral:rRNA from 1 species